AUACAUAUAAAUCUUUAAGCAAAAUAUCUGAUUAAGAAGAGAGAGAUAUGAAGAACAAGUGGAGUGCUAUGAUGGUUUUGGUUUUGGUGGUGAUGGCUGCCAUUGGAGGAGAAGCAAGGACGAUUCCAUGUGAAGAGACGUGUAUAGAACGCUGUGGCUAUCAUGGUGUCCAAAUAACACCGACCUGCUUGAAAAAAUGUUUUGAUAAGCUAUGCAUGCAUCUUCCACCAACAAGUAGUAUCUUUCAAUCUGUUUCGCAUUCAGAGUAACUCUCUCUCUCUCUCUAUCUUUCUCUAUAUACAUACUUGUGUGUAUAGUGAGUUGACAUGGUUUAUGUUGUGUUUAUGUAGGAUGAAGACUAAAGGGAUAGAAGAAAUGCAUGCAUAGAGAUCGUUUUGUUCAUGCUUGAUCUGUUUUUAUUUCUUCUAUUAAUAUAUGUAAAAUAAAAUAUAUAAUAAGAUAAAUAUAUACAAAAAUUUCAUAUUCAUGCAAAAUUAUUGGUGGACGUGUAGCAGAUAUCCUAAAACUUUUUGUGAGAUUUGUGAUCCACUCUAUUU
rnacentral:lncRNA from 1 species